rnacentral:rRNA from 1 species
CAUAAACGACUCUCGGCAACGGAUAUCUCGGCUCACGCAUCGAUGAAGAACGUAGCAAAAUGCGAUACUUGGUGUGAAUUGCAGAAUCCCGUGAACCAUCGAGUUUUUGAACGCAAGUUGCGCCCGAAGCCUUUUGGCCGAGGGCACGUCUGCCUGGGCGUCACGC